AACGUAGGGCGCGAGCGUUGUCCGGAUUUAUUGGGCGUAAAGAGCUCGUAGGCGGCUUGUUGCGUCGACUGUGAAAACCCGCGGCUUAACUGCGGGCUUGCAGUUGAUACGGGCAGGCUAGAGUUCGGUAGGGGAGACUGGAAUUCCUGGUGUAGCGGUGAAAUGCGCAGAUAUCAGGAGGAACACCGGUGGCGAAGGCGGGUCUCUGGGCAGUAACUGACGCUGAGGAGCGAAAGCGUGGGGAGCGAACAGG
rnacentral:rRNA from 1 species